rnacentral:rRNA from 1 species
GACGAACGCUGGCGGCGUGCUUAACACAUGCAAGUCGAACGGAAAGGCCCUGCUUUUGUGGGGUGCUCGAGUGGCGAACGGGUGAGUAACACGUGAGUAACCUGCCCUUGACUUUGGGAUAACUUCAGGAAACUGGGGCUAAUACCGGAUAGGAGCUCCUGCUGCAUGGUGGGGGUUGGAAAGUUUCGGCGGUUGGGGAUGGACUGGCGGCUUAUCAGCUUGUUGGUGGGGUAGUGGCUUACCAAGGCUUUGACGGGUAGCCGGCCUGGGAGGGUGACCGGCCACAUGGGGACUGAGAUACGGCCCAGACUCCUACGGGAGGCAGCAGUGGGGAAUAUUGCACAAUGGGCGGAAGCCUGAUGCAGCAACGCCGCGUGCGGGAUGACGGCCUUCGGGUUGUAAACCGCUUUCGCCUGUGACGAAGCGUGAGUGACGGUAAUGGGUAAAGAAGCACCGGCUAACUACGUG